ensembl:lncRNA
GUCUUUACAGCACCAUCUCCCAUAUUCUCCCCAUUUACCUGUGUUAUUAGCUGUUUAAGCUACUAGCCAGUCAGCUAUUUUCUCCUCACCUUCUGCAUAUCUACCUCCCUCUCACUCACUCUCCCCCCCCCCCCCCUUUCCCUCACACUCCUUUUCUCAUCUCCAGUUUGCCAAUUCUUGUUAUACUGUCCUUUUAAAAUGAUUUUAAAUGGUUCGUCGGCGUUGAUUUGCACGUGCGCUUACGGGACAUACGCAUGGACAUCAACCACUAUUUUAACCACUAUGCUAUUUUGAAAGUAGCUCAAAAAGCCUCAACCUGCAACCUUAUUAUUUUCACCCAUGACUGCAUUUUUGAAGUAGCCCAAUUUGGCUGGAAAAUCACUGACACGGCAACCCACAGACAGAACGGCCACACCGCCUUCACCGGAACUGACAGGAUCAGAGGCCGUGCCUCCUUCGCCACAACUGGCAGGAUCAGAGGCCACGCCUCCUGCACCAGAACUGACAGGAUCAGAGACCACACCUCUUUCAUUGGAAUUAACAGGAUCAGAGGCCACGCCUCCUUCAUUGGAAUUGACAAGAUCAGAGGCCACGCCUCCUUUACUGGAACUGGCAGGAUCAGAGGCCACGCCUCCUUCACCGCAACUGGCAGGAUCAGAGGCCACGCCUCCUUCACCACAACUGGCAGGAUCAGAGGCCACGCCUCCUUCAUUGGAAUUGACAGGAUCAGAAACUAUGCCUCCUUCCUUGGAACUGACAGGAUCAGAGGCCACGCCUCCUUCACCGGAACUGACAGGAUCAGAGGCCACGCCUCCUUCACCGGAACUGACAGCAUCAGAGGCCACACCUCCUUCACUGCAACUUCAUGUGCCACCUACAUGGUAUUAAAAGGUACAGAGGCCACACCUCCUUCAUCGAUACCUAAAGGCACGACAACAAAAAAACCUAAAGAACUCAUGUUUUAUCCUUGAGGGGCUUCUAUGUAGAACCUCUGAACAAGGGUUUCCUCAUCAAAUACAUCAAGUAGAACCAAAUUAGGUAUCUAAAACUCGAUCGUCUUUGAAAACACGAUCAGUGUCUACCAUGGCUAAAUGUAAUAAAAACGAAGAAAAAAAAAUAGGUGAUUUGAUUUUAUGCCUUUCUUUCUCAUAAUACGCUAUUAAAUCUAAUGAGUUUAUCAUCGGGGAGAACCGGUGGGAAAUCAUGCGUGUGAUUUGAUACGAUUUGCAUUUCUGUCGCCUGAUAAUCCAGCCUCCGUGAUUUGCGAGCAGGAUUUUAGGCACUGGAACGAGCUUCUCUUUCCCGGAACAAGCAGAUCGGUCUCUACAUUGGAUCGUGUCUGCCAAGCAAAGUGGAUUAGCCGCCCGCCCGCUGUUAUUGCGGCUUGAACGUUUCACUCCAUGUCCAGACUGGCCGUGGUGCUGUCGGAGCCUUGUGGGCUGUGGAGUGGAUUUGAUGUCGUCGUGGUUCCCGGGACCUCGACGUCGAGGAGCCGUCCUCCGACACACCGCAUCGUAUUUUCGAACCGCAAAUCAAAUCCCCGAGAUUACACGAAAUAAAAACGCGACCCGUUCACCAUCCUUCCACUUCCUCCGCACAGGGUCUGCUCCUCGGCAGGGAUGAACGACA